rnacentral:rRNA from 1 species
GAUGAACGCUGGCGGCGUGCCUAACACAUGCAAGUCGAGCGGACAGGCGAGGCGUUUGCUCCGCUUACGUGAGCGGCGGGCGGGUGAGUCACACGAGUAUAACUUACCUAUAAGACUGGCAUAACGUCGCGAAACCGGAUCUCAUACCGGAUAAUAUAUUGAACCGCAUGGUUCAAUAGUCAUAGCCGGAUUUGCUGUCACUUGUAGAGGGUUCCGCGCCGGAUUAGCUAGUUGGUACGGUAACGGCUUGCCAAGGCAACGAUGCGUAGCCGACCUGAGAGGACGAUCGGCCACACUGGAACUGAGACACGGUCCAGACUCCUACGGGAGGCAGCAGUAGGGAAUCUUCGACAAUGGGCGAAAGCCUGACGGAGCAAUGCCGCGUGUGUGAUGAAGGUCUUCGGAUCGUAAAGCUCUGUUAUUAGGGAAGAACAAAUGUGUAAGUAACCAUGGCCGUCUUGACGGUACCUACUGAGAAAGCACCGGCUAACUACGUG